AGAACAAACAGAUAAUGUGAAUAGAGGCACAGAGCCACUGAUCAUGAUGUCUACUGGAUUAUUUUAGGAACAUCCAAAGGCAAUGAACGUUGUUUACAACUAAACCAAGUAAUACUAACAAGCUAUGGCUGUGUAAAGAGGACAGCAGACUUUGUUUUCUGCUACAACUAAUGAAGACGCCAACUGGAGGGAAGGGGGCCAUUGGUGCACAGUGUCCACCACUCCUCCUUCACCAAGCUGUGACAAGCUGUCAGAUGCCACACUUGCAAAUGAUCCAGUAUUUUUUGUUGAGUUGAAGAAAUGUGACAGAGCACUGAACAUGAAGAUGAAAGAUUCAAGUUUGUGUCCCGAACCCUC
rnacentral:lncRNA from 1 species